rnacentral:rRNA from 1 species
UACGUAGGGUCCGAGCGUUGUCCGGAAUUACUGGGCGUAAAGAGCUCGUAGGUGGUUUGUCGCGUUGUUCGUGAAAACUCACAGCUCAACUGUGGGCGUGCGGGCGAUACGGGCAGACUAGAGUACUGCAGGGGAGACUGGAAUUCCUGGUGUAGCGGUGAAAUGCGUAGAUAUCUGGAGGAAUACCGGUGGCGAAGGCGGCAUCCUGGACCGGCACUGACACUGAGGAGCGAAAGCCAGGGGAGCAAACGGG